rnacentral:rRNA from 1 species
UCCGUAGGCGGUUUUGUAAGUCAGUGGUGAAAGCCCAUCGCUCAACGGUGGAACGGCCAUUGAUACUGCAAGACUUGAAUUAUUGGGAAGCAACUAGAAUAUGUAGUGUAGCGGUGAAAUGCUUAGAGAUUACAUGGAAUACCAAUUGCGAAGGCAGGUUGCUACCAAUAUAUUGACGCUGAUGGCGAAAGCGUGGGGAGCGAACA